rnacentral:rRNA from 1 species
AUUGAACGCUGGCGGCAGGCCUAACACAUGCAAGUCGAGCGGAUGAGUGGAGCUUGCUCCAUGAUUCAGCGGCGGACGGGUGAGUAAUGCCUAGGAAUCUGCCUGGUAGUGGGGGGACAACGUUUCGAAAGGAACGCUAAUACCGCAUACGUCCUACGGGAGAAAGCAGGGGGACCUUUCGGGCCUUGCGCUAUCAGAUGAGCCUAGGUCGGAUUAGCUAGUAGGUGAGGUAAUGGCUCACCUAGGCGACGAUCCGUAACUGGUCUGAGAGGAUGAUCAGUCACACUGGAACUGAGACACGGUCCAGACUCCUACGGGAGGCAGCAGUGGGGGAAUAUUGGACAAUGGGCGAAGACCUGAUCCAGCCAUGCCGCGUGUGUGAAGAAGGUCUUCGGGUUGUAAAGCUCUUUUACUCGGGUACGAUAAUGACGGUACCGAGAGAAUAAGCCCCGGCUAACUCCGU